rnacentral:rRNA from 1 species
CGGGUGAGUAACACGUGGAUAACCUACCUAUAAGACUGGGAUAACUUCGGGAAACCGGAGCUAAUACCGGAUAAUAUUUUGAACCGCAUGGUUCAAAAGUGAAAGACGGUCUUGCUGUCACUUAUAGAUGGAUCCGCGCUGCAUUAGCUAGUUGUAAGGUAACGGCUUACCAAGGCAACGAUGCAUAGCCGACCUGAGAGGGUGAUCGGCCACACUGGAACUGAGACACGGUCCAG